rnacentral:misc_RNA from 1 species
GAAAUGCGAUAAGUAAUGUGAAUUGCAGAAUUCAGUGAAUCAUCGAAUCUUUGAACGCACAUUGCGCUCCUUGGUAUUCCUUGGAGCAUGCCUGUUUGAGUAUCAUGAAAUCUUCAAAGUAAAUCUUUUGUUAACUCAAUUGGUUUCUACUUUGGUAUUGGAGGUCUUUGCAGCUUCACACCUGCUCCUCUUUGUUCAUUAGCUGGAUCUCAGUGUUAUGCUUGGUUCCACUUGGCGUGAUAAGUUAUCUAUCGCUGAGGACACUGUAAAAGGUGGCCAAGGUAAAUGCAGAUGAACCGCUUCUAAUAGUCCAUUGACUUGGACAAUACUUUUAUGAUCUGAUCUCAAAUCAGGUAGGACUACCCGCUGAACUUAAGC